UUGGGGAGGAAGAAGAGCCCCCAAACCCUUAACCUCCUUUAAUCCGCCAUAACUCUUCCGUCCAGGCUCCGAUUGUCACACCGUUCGUGGCCACGUGUCCAGCGCAUCAAGCUCUACAUUUCUAUCAGAUUAAUUUUACCAGUUCGAUUUAGCUUGCAGAGCUUACUGGGUUUGAGUUGCUACACGUGUGAGAGUGCUUGGAGGGCUGUGUUCUUGCUUGUGAGGCUGCCUUGGGUUGAAUAAAGUGAGCGGUCAAGGUAU